CAAUUUUCUUCCUAGCUACUGUUCAUUUUAUUUCUUAACAGGUAAAAGUGUUAAAUACAACCAUCUGUAUGAAAUAAUAUUUGUAGGAAAUACAAGAAAUAUGUUAUUUGUGGGAAAUAACAAUAGAUCAGCCGAUGUGGCUUAAUAACACUAAGAAACACUGGAAUAAAAAGAAAUUACUUGGCCGGGUGCGGUGGCUUGCGCCUGUAAUCCCAGUACUCUGGGAGGCCGAGGCGGGCGGAUCACCUCAGGUUGGGAGUUUGAGACCAGCCUGACCAACAUGGAGAAACCCCGUCUGUACUAAAAAUACAAAAUUAGCCGAGCGUGAUGGCGCAUGCCUGUAAUCCCAGCUACUCGGGAGGCUGAGGCAGGAGAAUUGCUUGAACCUGGGAGGCGGAGAUUGUGGUGAGCCGAGAUCGUGCCAUUGCACUCCAGCCUGGGCAACAAGAGCAAAACUCCAUCUCAAAAAAAAAAAAAAAAAAAAAGGCAUUACUUAAAUACAAUGUAUAUUAUUUUCCAGAAAACAACAUUCAUUUAUUAAUUCAACAAAUAUUUGUUGAAGACCUACUAGAUGUUUUCAUUCUAAGUACUAGAAAUGAAAGGGUAGAUAAGUCAGGUUUAUAGCCUAGUAUAUAGUCUGUCUUAGGGAGACAAUUCAGUAAAUAAUACACCUGCCAAUAUAAUUGGUGCUAUGAGGCAAAUAAAACUGAAUAAUGUGACAGAUAGUGACAGACAAGCUCAUUAGAUAUUAAUGCUGGGCAUGUCUCCUAAUGCAACAGACCAAAUGGGAAUUUGACUGGUAUGAUUAGAAAUGUAAGCUCAAUAAAUACAUAUCAAUGACUCUGAAUUGAAGUCUAUGCAAGCUAAGAGACCAGGAACUACUGUAUUAUGUUGUCAUCGGUGACACCUGAACAAAGCAAUCAUGGAAUAUUCUCAUAGAAUGCUUCUGUCUGAUUCCUUGGCGACCACUCAGGGCAGCAGUGGGCAGCCAGAACAAAUGCCUGCAGUGGGGAAGCGGCUAGGAGGGACAGCAGCACAGCAUCAUAGCACAGUUGUAUAGCCAAAGAAGACCUUCUUGGUGUAAAUAUCAGGAAAAAAAAUUAUCCUUAUUUUUCAGGAAUUGUGAUUGCAUUUCUAGAAUACAAAUCCAGAAAUAAUAAGCUACUAGAAUUAACAAGAGAAUGUAGUGGCAAGACAGAAAUAAAGAAUGUAAUAGCUUUCCUUUGUCUAUGCAAUAUCUAGUUAGAAUGGAAAUGGAAGAAAAUACCCUGUUUGCAAGUGACCAGAAGUACAAAAUAUCUAGGAAGGAAGGGAUAGGAACUAUAAGGAGCAAAGGGAACAUAGGACUAAAACUAUGAAAUUGUAUUCAAAGAUGUAAGACAAAACCUAAAGAGAAAAGAGUCUAUGUUCCUGGAUGGGAGGACUUAAUAUCAGAAAAAGUCACUAUCUAAAAUUAAUAACUUAAUACAAUUAGAAUCUCAAUGUGGUUAGUUUUACUCACCCACUCCCACCUUGGAUGAGUGGGUGGCACUGAGUCAAGUUUUUUUUUUUUUUUUUUUUUGAGACAGAGUCUCACUCUGUCACCCAGGCUGGAGUGCAGUGGCACAAUCUCGGCUCACUGCAACCUCUGCCUCCAGGGUUCAAGCUAUUCUCCUGCCUCAGCCUCCCAAGUAGCUGGGACUACUGGCGCCUGCCACCACGCCCGGCUAAUUUUUGUGUUUUUAGUAGAGACGGGGUUUCACCAUGUUGGCCGGGCUGGUCUCGAAUUCCUGACCUUGUGAUCCGCCCACCUAGGCCCCCCCAAAGUGCUGGGAUUACAGGGGUGAGCCACCGCACCUGGCCCAAAGGUUUUAUCAUUCAGAAAUGGCAAAACUAGGCUGGGCGCGGGUGCACGCCUGUAAUCCCAACACUUUGGGAGGCCGAGAUGGGCGGAUCAUCUGAGGUCAGAAGUUUGAGA
rnacentral:lncRNA from 1 species